GCAUAUUAGUAGGCGGUGGAAGAUAACCCAAAAGGGAUUCCUUCAGUAAUGGCGAAUGAACGGGGAAAAGCUCAGCAAAGAAAUCGAGGACUCCGGCCUUGAGUUGUGGACUUGAGAGGUAUCGCCAAUGGUGGCACAGGUGGGGGCCUCUUGGAAAAGGGCACCACAGAGGGUGUGAGUCCUGUUUGCCAUCUGUAGUCCGCCGUGUACGGCAUGCCUCCUCAGAGUCACGUUCCUUGGAAUUGGAGCGCGAAGGUGGUGGUGGCUUUCAUCUCAAGCUAAGUAUGGGUUCGAGACCGAUAGCAAACAAGUACCAUGAGGGAAAAUUGAAAAGAGCUUUGGAAAGAGAGUUAAAAGUGCCCGAACUUGCUGAUAGGGAAGCGAAGGGAGCUGACGUUGCUUGGUAACAUCUUCUGCGCAAGACUAGGAUGGGUUCUGAUUGCAAUGUGUGUAGUGUUUCUUGCCGUGCGUGUCGAUGCCAAGCAAUGAGUGGAGAGAGCUCCAGGGAUAUGAUUGUUUCUGUCCCCGGGUAGACGAAGGUGCCUGGUUGCAUCCAUUCGUGGGCUGAAAAAUUGGUGGCUGGUUGCAGCAUUCCCUUGCCAACUAAUGCAAUUGGAGUGUAGCCCUGACAUGCAGACGAGGACAAAGUGCUUCUGUUCGACCCGUCUUGA
rnacentral:rRNA from 1 species